rnacentral:rRNA from 1 species
GCUCAGGAUGAACGCUAGCUACAGGCUUAACACAUGCAAGUCGAGGGGCAGCAUUUCAGUUUGCUUGCAAACUGGAGAUGGCGACCGGCGCACGGGUGAGUAACACGAAUCCAACCUGCCGAUAACUCGGGGAUAGCCUUUCGAAAGAAAGAUUAAUACCCGAUGGCAUAAUUAGACCGCAUGGUCUUAUUAUUAAAGAAUUUCGGUUAUCGAUGGGGAUGCGUUCCAUUAGGCAGUUGGUGAGGUAACGGCUCACCAAACCUUCGAUGGAUAGGGGUUCUGAGAGGAAGGUCCCCCACAUUGGAACUGAGACACGGUCCAAACUCCUACGGGAGGCAGCAGUGAGGAAUAUUGGUCAAUGGGCGCAGGCCUGAACCAGCCAAGUAGCGUGAAGGAUGACUGCCCUAUGGGUUGUAAACUUCUUUUAUAUGGGAAUAAAGUUUUCCACGUGUGGAAUUUUGUAUGUACCAUAUGAAUAAGGAUCGGCUAACUCCGUGCCAGCAGCCGCGGUAAUACGGAGGAUCCGAGCGUUAUCCGGAUUUAUUGGGUUUAAAGGGAGCGUAGGUGGACAGUUAAGUCAGUUGUGAAAGUUUGCGGCUCAACCGUAAAAUUGCAGUUGAUACUGGCUGUCUUGAGUACAGUAGAGGUGGGCGGAAUUCGUGGUGUAGCGGUGAAAUGCUUAGAUAUCACGAAGAACUCCGAUUGCGAAGGCAGCUCACUGGACUGCAACUGACACUGAUGCUCGAAAGUGUGGGUAUCAAACAGGAUUAGAUACCCUGGUAGUCCACACAGUAAACGAUGAAUACUCGCUGUUUGCGAUAUACAGUAAGCGGCCAAGCGAAAGCAUUAAGUAUUCCACCUGGGGAGUACGCCGGCAACGGUGAAACUCAAAGGAAUUGACGGGGGCCCGCACAAGCGGAGGAACAUGUGGUUUAAUUCGAUGAUACGCGAGGAACCUUACCCGGGCUUAAAUUGCAUUUGAAUAAUCUGGAAACAGGUUAGCCGCAAGGCAAAUGUGAAGGUGCUGCAUGGUUGUCGUCAGCUCGUGCCGUGAGGUGUCGGCAUAAGUGCCAUAACGAGCGCAACCCUUAUCUUUAGUUACUAACAGGUCAUGCUGAGGACUCUAGAGAGACUGCCGUCGUAAGAUGUGAGGAAGGUGGGGAUGACGUCAAAUCAGCACGGCCCUUACGUCCGGGGCUACGCACGUGUUACAAUGGGGGGUACAGAAGGCAGCUACCUGGUGACAGGAUGCUAAUCCCAAAAGCCUCUCUCAGUUCGGAUCGAAGUCUGCAACCCGACUUCGUGAAGCUGGAUUCGCUAGUAAUCGCGCAUCAGCCAUGGCGCGGUGAAUACGUUCCCGGGCCUUGUACACACCGCCCGCCAAGCCAUGAAAGCCGGGGGUACCUGAAGUACGUAACCGCAAGGAGCGUCCUAGGGUAAAACUGG